rnacentral:lncRNA from 1 species
GAGGUGUGUUCAAAAAGUAAGGUGACUUUUCUAAUUUCGCGGGCUAUGUCCGUUCGAUCUUCGAUUUUUUUUUAUGUUAUGUUGGUACACUUGUCCCGAACAUCUGUACACAGUUUCAAGUGUAUAGCAUGUUUAGUUUGUUUUUGACAGAUACAAAGGUGAGACGUAUUUUGGUGUGCUCGGCGAUUUUUUGCUAUCAAGAAAAAUGGAUCAAAGAAUUUGCAUCAAAUUUUGUGUAAAAAAUGGAAUUAAGUGCUCCAAAACACUUGAAAUGUUGACAGUGGCAUACGCAAAAAAUCGCCGAGCACACCAAAAUACGUCUCACCUUUGUAUCUGUCAAAAACAAACUAAACAUGCUAUACACUUGAAACUGUGUACAGAUGUUCGGGACAAGUGUACCAACAUAACAUAAAAAAAAAUCGAAGAUCGAACGGACAUAGCCCGCGAAA